ANUUUGUACAUAUUAAUUAAUUUCGAUAGUAAUAAAAAUGAAUCGGCCUUUAACUGCCAGGAAACAGCAUUUUUUAAAUUUAUUAUUUUUUUUCUCUCGCGCAAGUAUAAUGUAAUAACAAUAACAUUAUUAUUAUUUUUUUCUGUAUUUAUUAUAUUCUAUUCAGGUUUUUAAUGUUACUAUAAUUGUACAGAUUUGGUUUAUAUAUAUUUCUCUCACUUUUUUUUCGUUUUGGUAUUCGAAACCAGUGCGGCACAUCGGCGACGUUGCCAAUAAAUUUUUUAAUUAGUGUCCGUCGUCAUAACGACGAUGGGAAACUACCCCCUCUCCUGCUGCCGUUCCCGGUGGUUUACCUCCAUCCCCCUCAAAGAACCCCCCCCCCUCGUAAAUCUCGUGCUUUUGUAUAACCGCUUUUGUACUGUUAGGCAUUUCUUAUGUUUUGCAUUUAUAGGAAAUAAUUUAUUUGAAUACUUUAUAGAGAUUUUUUCUUAGCGAGUUAUACAUAAUGAACAUGGUUUAAUGACCUACAAAUUGUUAAAUGUAUUUAUACAGAAAUAACAGUACUAUUAUUUAGAAUAAAUCAAUAAAAGUGCCUUCAGCGUUUUAUGUAGCCUCUCCCUUUAGGGCACCCCUUAUAGUCUUCUUGGGUAACGGUAAGUUAUUAAUUUUUGAUUUUGACAUUUAUCUUUUAACGUAUUUACAAGUAUUUAAAGAAAGUGCAGUUAAACUUUAACAAUUCGUUUAGCUCUCUUUAAAUUUGCCAGGUCUAGGGAAGUUUUCUGUGGUCUGGCAACGUUGACCAAAAAUGGGACCUGUUAGUGGACAUCUCUCUUCCUUUUCAAUUGCGUAAGAAACUUCGUUUGUAUCGAAGUUUUUUUUGUUGCUAUUUUGAGGGUAAAUAUUCGGGGUCGGGGUGUAAACAUGCUUUGCUAUAAUUACAAAAAAUUAUAUUUUAUUUUCUGCCCUGUUCUUUAAGAAUAAUUUUUCCAAAUGAAAUACCUAUUGAUAAGUAAUUAUGAUUAUUAUAUUUUUUAUUGCACGAUUUUUAUAUGUAUUUUAUUAUGGUUUACAUCAUUUACGAAUCACAUACACCUACAAGUAAUUAAUUAUCGAACGAAUAAUUUUUGUUAUAUGUACUAUUUUCAUUGACUAGUUAAACAUUUCUCCUUCAAAAGUUGCCUGUUAUCGCAGGUCAAGAAUAGUUCGGACAAAUUACAAGAAAAAAAGUUAGAUAGAUAAACAUAUAUGUAUAUUAAAUACUAAAGACGUUAAAUGUGAGUAGAAGAGAGGUGUAUCAUAACGGUUUACAUUAUCUAUGCGGUUUACAUUAGUCAUACGUACGAUGUCUUUCGUGUCGGUUGUUUGCGAAUGGUAAUUUUAUUUACGAUGUUAUUUGUAAAAAUAAAAUAGAUAAUUAAACGCAAAAACGACUUUUGAUAAUGUGUGUUGUUAUUAUGUGACAUUUUUAAAAGUGCAGGUAACACAACUGUAGUUAAGAAUGGAAAUCCUGACUUUUUUAUGUCCAGUCAGGUUUACGUUUGGCACUAUAUUGCCCAAAAGACUUCAAAAACCUCUGAAAAUAUAGCCUUAAACGCUGCAAUUACGUUAGAAACAAAUUGGUAAAGGCUUUCACGGCCAGUUGGUGAACUGAUGUUGUUCUGGUGCGGGUCUAAAGUUCGUCAUCGGUUGGGAGUUGCUUCCUAACGUUUCGUUAGCACGAGUAGCGAGCUUCUUCAGAGAUCAUUCUACCUCUGAUGUUAGAUGUACACUACAUUCAGCGUCAGAAAUGGAAUCAGGAUAGCACCAGGACGUUAGAAACAGUUAGACGAGGAAACGUGGUUACAGGAUAUGGAUACAAACUCACCCUUACAUCCGCAUCAUCGCAGGCUCGACCUCGGCCGCACUUCAGCUCCUGGUACUGGGAUAUCACACACAGAAGAGCGUAUACCUGAGAAAAUUGGAAAUUCCUAAAAAUAUGAUCGAGACUUGUACUGGUGAAGCAGUUGGAAAUUUAGCAUCUAUGAAAGUCGAACGGUUCUGUAACGACUGAGGACAUCCUUAAGCCACGGCAGUUUUCUUUCCAUCCCAUAUCGAAGACUCUAAGUGAUGAAUUAAUUAUUCUUUCAAUAAUGUGUAACUAAAAGUGGAUUUAUUGAACAAAGUUUCAGUUUUAUAAAUUAAUCCUAAUUUAAUUUUUCUCAUAACUUAUGACACUUAUAAAUUCAUGUUCACUUAAUAUUUCAUUUGUUUAGUAAUUCUGAAGUGUUUAACUCAUUAUCUCAUCUUUUGCAGUUACUUCUCCAAUUUAUUUAUCUGCUUAUCUCUUGUUCUAAUUUUAUUUUAGUUGUUCGUGAAUUUUCUUUUAAAUUUAUUAUUGUUACUUAUUUAGAAUAUUUAACAACACAGUCACUAAAUCCACUUUUAUAAAUUAAUGUGUUGUAAUGAAAUAUUUAACAAAUAGCUUCUCAGUUUAAACUGUAUUG
rnacentral:lncRNA from 1 species